GUUUUGUAACUAUAACAACACUAUUAAACGGCGUGUUUUUCAAACUUCGAUAAUACAACAUCAGUGUAUAUAAUACACCUAUAAUACCUAUGCGAUAAUAAUAAUAAUAAUAAUAAUAACCGUUAACGGUACACGGAUAAUAAUAUCGAAAAGUUUUCGAUUGUCCGUAAGUCAUUAUUUACGCGAGCGAGUUACGUUUUUUUUUUUUUUUUAUAUUAAUCUGGCGUACGAUUUCGAAUUACCGGCUUCGUAUACGUUAUUUGCACAGAUUACUGGACACAGACGAGCAGGGCCGGACGCUAGGGGUGGUGGGGACGCCCUCCCCCUCUCCAUUAGUGAGAAAAAUCAAUUUCUAGUCAACAGAUAGUAAUAAUUAUAAAAAAAAUUACUGAGUAGACGGAAAUUUUAUAUUUACAGGAAAAUAAAUAAAAUCAUUUUAGUCUUGUAAGUAAUGAUAAGUAUACAAAUUCGUAUGGUUACUCCUCCCCCCCCCAUCGAUAAUUUCUAGUGUCGGCCCUGCGGACGAGUGCAAUUACAAUUGAUUGGGCCAGGCACGCAUAAUAAUAACGUGCAGGGUACCCAUACAGUUUCGAUAAAAAUCGGUAAGUACGUUCGUACAUUAUUUUAUAAUAUCGUUAAAGCGUAUUUGCAAAACGGCAUUUUAUAAACAAGACGAAUAAUUCGGAUCGCAUUGAUAAUCCGAAGACGGCAGUGGCUUUUUUAAGAAGGGGCAUCGACAUAGUU